UCUGUUCUUAUAUCAUAGUAGCUACUGUAGUUGUUUACCUUUACUGUUGUUUAGCCUCCUUUGCUGGUGCGUACCCUCGCCCUCGUCGGCUUGCGGUACCCACUGGGAGGGGAGACAUGUUUACAUGUUCUCACCUCCCCCACCAUUUUUCAGGUAUUGCAGGCGAUGAGUAGUGGGACGAGACGUGAGGUACGUGUGUAGCGGUCGAUAGAGCUUCCGACCCAGGUUAUUUCGGUAUAGUUAUUACCCUUAUUAUUUCAGUUGUUAUAGCCUAGAUAGUUAUAUGGUUCAGUAUUUUUUUUAUUACAUUUAAAAAUAUGGAUUUUCGUGAAUGUAAUAAACGUAUUUCUGGAUUUUGUAAAAUAAAAGGUUUUCUACCCCUCGUGGUAGCGUUUUUAACGAAUAAAGGUUUCCGUGUAGGAAACAGUUUUCAAAAGAAUUUUUCGUGGAUUUCUGUUUAAACAUUGAAUGUAAAACUGUGAUGUGAAUGGUGAAUGUAUGAAUGUAUAGUUAUCUUUAUAUUCAUCUAGUGGUGGUUGUAUCUUUCUUGUACUCUUGUACUUGUGCGACGCCGUGCAAAUACAGGGGAGACUCUGUCCGUGUGAACAGUGGAUCUCCUGUAUUUGUGGCGGAUCUGGCAUACUCUAGGGUCAAGUUUUCAAAAAAAAAAAAAAAAAAAAAAUU
rnacentral:lncRNA from 1 species